AACCAAUGGUGGGGGCAUCUUCUUAAAAGGUCCUUGUAUCUCUCCCAUGCAUUGUAGAGUGUUUCUAAAUCCAUCUGCACAAAAGAAAAUAUAUCAUUGCGUAAUUU
rnacentral:snoRNA from 1 species